AAAAACGUGAGGUCUGUAAGUUUCCGUGUUCAUAUUUUAAUCGCUUCGGGAUUUUAAGAUUAGGUUACACAAAAAACAACCAAUACUGUAGCAAAUAACCCUUUUAACAAUACCUAGAUCAUGAUUACAAUGAGGUUAUUCAAAGAAAUGUGCCUUUGUGCAUUCAUGCUUUCCUUUUAAUGCAAAAUUCCCAACAUAAGGCAACAGUCAGAGAUGGUACUCAUGUUAGCACACCCAGGCUACAUCUAGACUAACUUGUCUGCGCUCAACAAAUACAAUUGACCUUAAAACGUGACAAAUUGACCGGAUUGGUUCAGGAUUCUGUAAGGGUUAGAGAAAUCAAAAUACAUCAUUAAUUGCAUGAGUGAAAAACUGGUUGGUUUAGUCCUGGUCAGUGUUGGGGAGUAACGGAUUACAUGUACCGGAGUUACGUAAUCAGAGUACAAAUUAUGAGUAACUGUUACUGUUCCAGUGAGUGGUAAUUAGAUUACAGUUACUUGGUUGAAAUAAAUAAAUUACACAGAGGUAUUUAGCUUUUUUAAUAUUUAAUUCUAUAUCCUUUUUUUUUUUUUUUUUUUUUUGGUAAUUUCACUCAUUGCCGGACAUUAAACCAGGUCUAAAACCAGGUCUAAAACCAGGUCUAAGCCAGGCCUAAACCAGGUCUAAAACCAGGACUAAAACCAGGUCUAAAACCAGGUCUAAAACCAGGUCUAAGCCAGGCCUAAACCAGGUCUAA